rnacentral:lncRNA from 1 species
AUGUGCACAGAAAACCUACACCAUUUUUUAAUUCCGUUUUCCAUGAACUUUGUGAAUUGCAUUUGUAUUCCAGGAAGUGGUGACAGCUUGUAUUUGAUUCUGGGAGAUGUGCACACCAGGGAAAGCCACAGGGAAGAAGAAAAGCUGAAAAGUAACAGAGAAGGCACAGGCACGAGAGUGAGGCCACCGUGGGAAGUGCAGUCACUUAGAACGACUGGGGUGAACAGGACGGGAUCAGCUUCGAGAAGCCAAGAGCUGCUGCUCGACCGUGCAGGACGCAGGUUUUUUACUUUUAAAAAUUUUCACUCCCACAUAAAAGAGAGAGCAUGUGGUACUCACCUUUCUGUUUGCAUCUUACAGAAAACUCAUCUUAGGAGAGUAGCAUGACUGUUAAUACAAAAGCCAAUAAAAAUAAUACUAAAUUUAUAUGUAAGUCUCA